rnacentral:rRNA from 1 species
GUGAGGUAACGGCUCACCAAGGCGAUGACGGGUAGCUGGUCUGAGAGGAUGAUCAGCCACACGGGGACUGAGACACGGCCCCGACUCCUACGGGAGGCAGCAGUGGGGAAUUUUGGACAAUGGGCGAAAGCCUGAUCCAGCGACGCCGCGUGCGGGAGGAAGCCCUUCGGGGUGUAAACCGUUGUCAGGAGGGAAGAACAGGUUCGGGCGAAUAACCCGAACUGCUGACGGUACCUCCAGAGGAAGCGCCGGCUAACUCCGUGCCAGCAGCCGCGGUAAUACGGAGGGCGCAAGCGUUGUCCGGAAUUACUGGGCGUAAAGGGGGCGCAGGCGGCUUGGCAAGUCUUGUGUGAAAGGCCAUGGCUCAACCGUGGACAUGCACUAGAUACUACCGAGCUUGAGACGGGUAGAGGCGAGUGGAAUUCCCGGUGUAGCGGUGGAAUGCGUAGAUAUCGGGAAGAACACCAGUGGCGAAGGCGACUCGCUGGGCCCGUUCUGACGCUCAGGCCCGAAAGCGUGGGGAGCAAACAGGAUUAGAUACCCUGGUAGUCCACGCCGUAAACGAUGGGCACUAGGUGCUGGGAAGUGUGACCUUUUCGGUGCCGUAGCUAACGCGUUAAGUG